rnacentral:rRNA from 1 species
UACGAAGGGGGCUAGCGUUGCUCGGAAUUACUGGGCGUAAAGGGUGCGUAGGCGGGUCUUUAAGUCAGGGGUGAAAUCCUGGAGCUCAACUCCAGAACUGCCUUUGAUACUGAAGAUCUUGAGUUCGGGAGAGGUGAGUGGAACUGCGAGUGUAGAGGUGAAAUUCGUAGAUAUUCGCAGGAACACCAGUGGCGAAGGCGACUUGCUGGAUCUU